UCAAAUUUCUAAGAGCAAACGGUGGAUGCCUUGGCAUCUGGAGCCGAAGAAGGACGUAGCAAUCUGCGAUAAGCCUCGGGGAGCUGAUAAGCGAGCUUUGAUCCGAGGAUGUCCGAAUGGGGAAACCCCGCUGGGAGCUUCGUGCUACCCAGUGACUCCCGCCUGAAUAUAUAGGGCGGGUAGAGGGAACGUGGGGAAGUGAAACAUCUCAGUACCCACAGGAAGAGAAAACAACAGUGAUUCCGGUAGUAGUGGCGAGCGAAACCGGAACAGGCCAAACCGAUCAUGUGUGAUAGCCGGCAGGCGUUGCAUGGUCGGGGUUGUGGGACUCUUACGGUUUUCUGCCGAAAACCACGUAGAUAGUUGUUGUAUAGACAAAUGGUCUUGAAAGGCCAGCCGCAGAGGGUGCCAGCCCCGUAGUUGAAAUGCAGCACUAAUGCGAAGAGGAUCCCAAGUAUCACGGGGCCCGAGAAAUCCCGUGUGAAUCUGCCAGGACCACCUGGUAAGCCUAAAUACUCCCAGAUGACCGAUAGCGGACAAGUACCGUGAGGGAAAGGUGAAAAGUACCCCGGGAGGGGAGUGAAAUAGAACCUGAAACCGUUUGCUUACAAUCCGUUGGAGCCUCCUUGUAGGGGUGACAGCGUGCCUUUUGAAGAAUGAGCCUGCGAGUUAGCGAUAUGUGGCGAGGUUAACCCGUGAGGGGUAGCCGUAGCGAAAGCGAGUCUGAAUAGGGCGAUUCAGUCGCAUGUCCUAGACCCGAAGCGAAGUGAUCUAUCCAUGGCCAGGUUGAAGCGACGGUAAGACGUCGUGGAGGACCGAACCCACUUGGGUUGAAAACCGAGGGGAUGAGCUGUGGAUAGGGGUGAAAGGCCAAUCAAACUUCGUGAUAGCUGGUUCUCUCCGAAAUGCAUUUAGGUGCAGCGUUGCGUGUUUCUUGCCGGAGGUAGAGCUACUGGAUGGCCGAUGGGCCCUAAAAGGUUACUGACGUCAGCCAAACUCCGAAUGCCGGUAAGUAAGAGCGCAGCAGUGAGACGGUGGGGGAUAAGCUUCAUCGUCGAGAGGGAAACAACCCAGACUACCGACUAAGGUCCCAAAGCGUGUGCUAAGUGGAAAAGGAUGUGGAGUUGCAUAGACAACCAGGAGGUUGGCUUAGAAGCAGCCACCCUUGAAAGAGUGCGUAAUAGCUCACUGGUCAAGUGAUUCCGCGCCGACAAUGUAACGGGGCUCAAGCACACCACCGAAGUCGUAGCAUUCAAACUAUAGGUAGGCCUUCGUGGUCCAGCCGUGUGAAUGGGUAGGAGAGCGUCGUGUGGCGAGCGAAGCGGCGGAGUGAUCCAGCCGUGGACGCCACACGAGUGAGAAUGCAGGCAUGAGUAGCGAAAGACGGGUGAGAAACCCGUCCUCCGGAAGACCAAGGGUUCCAGGGCCAGGCUAAUCCGCCCUGGGUAAGUCGGGACCUAAGACGAGGCCGACAGGCGUAGUCGAUGGACAACGGGUUGAUAUUCCCGUACCCGCGAAGAACCGCAAGAGCUAAACCAGUAAUGCUAAGAGUCCGAAUUCUCUUUCUGAUCCCUUCGGGGUGAGGAUUGAGAGCUAGCACUCGACCCUAUGCUGGCGCGGCUAGCGUAUUAACAGGUGUGACGCAGGAAGGUAGCUGAGCCGGGCGAUGGUUGUCCCGGUGUAAGGAUGUAGGGCGAGGAAUAGGCAAAUCCGUUCCUCACGAAGCCUGAGAUCCGACGCGUACCCCUCACGGGGGAAAUCAGUGAUCCUAUGCUGCCAAGAAAAGCAUCGACGCGAGGUUCUAGUGGCCCGUACCCCAAACCGACUCAGGUGGUCAGGUAGAGAAUACUAAGGAGAUCGAGAGAAUCGUGGUUAAGGAACUCGGCAAAAUGCCCCCGUAACUUCGGGAGAAGGGGGGCCGGAUUGGUGAAGGGAUUUACUCCUGGAGCUAUGAAGGCCGCAGAGACCAGUGGGAAGCGACUGUUUACUAAAAACACAGGUCCGUGCUAAGUCGCAAGACGAUGUAUACGGACUGACGCCUGCCCGGUGCUGGAAGGUUAAGAGGAGCGGUUAGCACUUGUGCAAAGCUGCGAAUUUAAGCCCCAGUAAACGGCGGUGGUAACUAUAACCAUCCUAAGGUAGCGAAAUUCCUUGUCGGGUAAGUUCCGACCUGCACGAAUGGCGUAACGACUUCCCCGCUGUCUCCAAUGUAGACUCAGCGAAAUUGAAUUGCCUGUUAAGAUGCAGGCUUCCCGCGGUUAGACGGAAAGACCCCGUGCACCUUUACUACAGCUUCACACUGGCAUUAGGUCAGACGUGUGCAGGAUAGGUGGUAGGCUUUGAAACUCGGACGCUAGUUCGGGUGGAGCCUCCCUUGAGAUACCACCCCUGUCUGUCUUGAUGUCUAACCGCGGUCCGUUAUCCGGAUCCGGGACCCUGUGUGGCGGGUAGUUUGACUGGGGCGGUCGCCUCCUAAAGAGUAACGGAGGCGCGCGAUGGUUGGCUCAGACCGGUCGGAAAUCGGUCGUCGAGUGCAAUGGCAUAAGCCAGCCUGACUGUGAGUCUGACAAGACGAGCAGAGACGAAAGUCGGUCAUAGUGAUCCGGUGGUCCCGAGUGGAAGGGCCAUCGCUCAACGGAUAAAAGGUACGCCGGGGAUAACAGGCUGAUACCGCCCAAGAGUUCAUAUCGACGGCGGUGUUUGGCACCUCGAUGUCGGCUCAUCACAUCCUGGGGCUGGAGCAGGUCCCAAGGGUAUGGCUGUUCGCCAUUUAAAGUGGUACGCGAGCUGGGUUUAGAACGUCGUGAGACAGUUCGGUCCCUAUCUGCUGUGGGCGUUUGGAGAUUUGAGGGAAGCUGAUUCUAGUACGAGAGGACCGAAUUGGACGAACCUCUGGUGUUCCGGUUGUCACGCCAGUGGCAUUGCCGGGUAGCUAUGUUCGGAAAGGAUAACCGCUGAAAGCAUAUAAGCGGGAAGCCUCUCCCAAGAUUAAAUCUCCCAGAGACUUUAUGUCUCCUAAAGAGUCGUCAUAGACUAUGACGUUGAUAGGCAAGAUGUGUAAGCGCUGCGAGGCGUUGAGCUAACUUGUACUAAUAACUCGUGAGGCUUGAUCAU
rnacentral:rRNA from 1 species